GCUGUGCUCACUAAGGUGAAAGGUCAGGUUUGACUCCAAAAUGGCCGAUCCCAAAUAGGCAAGGAGCAGUUGUGAUUGUUGCUUCCCUUGUCCACAUCGUAAGAUCUCAUGACACACCCAACACUGCCACCUGGCGCCCACUCGAGUUCACGUCAGUGCGCGCUUCCUCCAGCCCAGAGCACACCGAAAUGUUUCGACAUCCGCUAUUCCCAAUGUCCCCAAAAUAUGACACUGUUCAGCAGUUCACACCCCUGUUUAUACUACGCAUCUUAAUUGUAGUCAUUGCUCGAAUACGACUUCAAAGUGCAAUAUCAUGCACGCACGCUAUAUGCACAUUAAAAUAUUUUUUUCACACACUA